CGGUGUUUAUCAACACCACCUCACAUUGGUUACGGACAUGCGCUACUGGAUACACAGCUACUACAUACUGGACUAGCCCGGCUGGCGGCACCGCCGCACAGCCCAACGGUCCCACACCUACCAUGGGGCACAAACCCAGCCCAAGCAUAGACGCUCACAGACAGCUCACAGACCGCAAGCACCUGCUGGCAUACACCACCAGCCCAUGUACCCCGCAGCUCGUUAGCACCUCUCUCUCUCGCGGCAAUUGGAGCCGCGAGAGAGAGAAACCAGACACAGACACGAAACCCGGCCUUCAGAGCGCGCGAUGUUUCUGCACAUAAGGACUACCUAUCGGGCAACAAGAUUCCGCGCUCGCCGGGCCCAUCGCAGCGCAGUUGGCAGUUUGCCAAUGCAUGUUUCACAAAGGAAGCGCGAUCGCUGGCAGCCAGGCGCCUCCAAGCAGCAUCUCUAAGUGCAUAGUUGACGCAUACACCCAAAGCCAUCACCAGCGCAUCCAUAGCGGCCUGUAUUCGCUGCGUCUGGCACCUUACAGUUUCAGCCCACGAAAUUUCUCCGCCAACCAUCGCUCGAACCCUGCCAGCGCGCCUAGACAGUCCAUAGCACGCUCGCAUCAGAUAGCGGGCUCCCGCGAGGGAGCCUGCUGCUCAGAGUCAGCAUUUGGACAAUCGCUCUCCCCGCUGAUUAAUGCGUGCCUCCACUGGUAGAUAAAAUUGAACGGGGAAAAAUAGCCAAUCCGCGCCAUGGAUUCUGCAACUCAGCACCGGCAGCGGGCACGCGAUGCCUUGUCGAACCUAGGUUUUGAUGCGGAGGCGGUCAGCAGCUUUGACGAUAAGACACUCGACAGGCUCGUCAGCGCCAACUUCGACUUGCCAGGGCGCCUUCGGGCGGCCACCUGCGACGGCCUCGAGAAAGCUGGACUGGCGCCAGGUGACGUGUGCUUCAUUAUGUCCAAGCUGCAAGGUGCGUGGAUAUUUUAUUUCCGGUAGCCUGUCCCCUAGAGCGCAUCAGGGUGAUCCUAAGCAAGGCGGGGCCGGAGGCUGGUUGGGGCCUGGAGUGAGUCAGGUUGGGCGCCGGGAGAGUCUGUGGUGGGCCGGGGUGUUCCGCCACACGGGGGACACGCCCGGUUCCGGGCGGGGUCGAAACCCAGGAUUGGGCGUUCUUAUUCAUACAAGCACCAUUUACAAUUCUAUAAAGCACGUUACCCUCGGUAUGUGAGCAGCAUAUGUUCACACAUAAUAGCGGGCUAGGUGUCGUGAAGGUCCCGCGAGCGCGAGACCAAUUUUGAGCAUGUUCGCUCAAAUCCGCUAAGCGUGAACCCACAAGCCCUGACUACGCUUAUUUACACCCUAUGAAAGCAAUUGCACCUAUAAGCGCAGGCUCGCAGGCCUCGGCGAGCAGUGUCAUUUCCUACUACAUACUGGAAUAGCCCGGCUGGCGGCACCGCCGCACAGCCCAACGGUCCCACACCUACCAUGGGGCACAAAUGAGUCGGGUUUGGUCGAAGGAAUGUGGUGCCAGAUCACAGGUGGCAGCGGUUGCAGACCAGGGAGGCUGGCAUCACAUGUCGAUGACUGUCUGCAUCCGCCGGAGCCUCGCGGCCCUCGGGCUCUGGCCCUUGUUGGCGGGGCGUGAUUCGUUCCGGCGUGGCCAUGCUGACUACCUGCAUUGCCUUUUGAUUGCUCUCGCGUUGUGCAGGCGCGGCGGCUGGCGUGGGCACAACAAGAGCUGGUGAGUGGGGCGAUGCGCAAAGAGUAGCGGCUGGUCACGACACGCCGCAGCUCAGAGGGUGGCCGCUGGACAGCGGGGGUGCACAGGGAGGUUGGGGGCAGACACCCGAUUUGUUUGGCGGUUGAGAUGCUGCACGCUGUCCCUCCCCGUUCACCAGAGCGCAUUGGGCACGUGCAGCGCCGUUCCAACCUGCGCAUGCCUUUCGUUCAUGUCUUCACUUCGUUUGCAUCUGUGUUUCGGUCGCUUUCAGGUGAUGCAGGCGCGGCGGCUGGCCUGGGCGUGGGGAGUGCGGCAGGGGCCGGUGAGUUAGUGUGUUGCGCGGGCCCAGGGAAUUCUCACUAGCGGCUUGUGCACAUCAGCGGCUUGGGGGGCUCAGCCCAAGAAAGUUUGCCGAUGCGAUCGGCAGUGCAAUCGACCCAACUUUAUUGAAGUUCCUUAUCAAAAUCUGCCGGAAGACAGGUAUGAUGUGGGCGCGAUUGGGAAUGAACCAACGCGCUUUGAUGCCUGCGCAAGAGCAAAGGACCGUGACGGUCGCUUGCCGUGCCUUGACCGCUCCGCAGGUGUUCGGCCAACGGUCUUCCUACGAUCUCCGCUCCCAGACGCGGCCCUGCCAUCCCGCUUUGACAAGCCUAGUCGCUCGCUGAAGGUAGAUCACGCGGAGCCCGUAGACUGCAAGACCUGGGAGCAUGUGGCGCCGCAAGAACGUAUUCCCGCGCUCUUCGGCCGCUUGGCGGCCGCAUGUGGCAGCCACGCCACUGCUAGCGGCUUCCAAGCUAUGGGCGGGGCCGGCCAUGGCACAAGCAGCACGGAGGGCGGCGGCGGCGGCGGCGGCGGCGGCGACAGCAGCAGCAGCAGCAACAGUGGGGGUGGCGGCAGUAGCUUCGACGCUGAGGUGCUCACGCUCAUCAUGCAUGCGGAUGACAUCUUCUGCAGCGCUGACGGCGAGCCUAUUCGGUGAGUGCCGUGAUAUGGGUGGGUGAGGUGAUCGUUGUCGUCAGAUCUUUACAGCUGCUGGCCAGGGUCGUUGCGUUACCGGUAGAUUAGCCAAUUCCUUGGGCAACCAUGGGUUAUCCCCAGUGUGACACUGCGUUGCGUGUGGCGCUCGUAUGUGUCGGAACCGCCCAUCAACAGGGUGCUGCUUCAGCAGCAAGGGCCGCCUGAAGUGCUCAUCAAUGAAGCUGUCGCCUGCUUCGGCACGCGCCCGCUGCUCAAGGUGCUGACCAUCCUGGUCAACGGCCUGUUGGAGCGGUUGCGUGGCGGCGCCCGUGCCGACCGCACUGCAGCGGCGGCAGCAGUGGGCAGUGGGGCAGCGGCGAAGCCGGCGCCCGCCGGCAUAACGCCUGGGGUGGAGCCGGCGGCUGGUAGUGAUGCUGCGGCCGUGCCAGCUGCCAGGACUGGCCGCGUGAGCAGUGUUUAUUGGGGUGCUGAGAUGAGCCUUGACAAGAUCCGCGAGGUGGCCAGCAGCCAGGAGGGUCUUGAGUGGCUUGUGCAGGGAGGGGGCAGCUCGCUGCGCCCAGACAUGCCGCUCAUUGUAGUCAUCUCGGAUGACGACGCGACCUGGCAGCAGUGCCGCAGCUUUGUGGAGAUGAAGGCGCCAGCACUGAUGCUGGAGGGCAGAACGCCGCGCUCGCUGGUGGACCUGUGGCGGAGCGGCGACAAACGUGUUCGCGCCAUAUUGGCACAGGUGGGCCCCACAGCCCUCGCCCGAGCCCCAGCGAGCCCCAGCCCGAGCCGUAGCACUCGCCCGAGCCAUGCGGCUGCAUUGUCAGCAGACCGCCUCAAUGCGUUUGUGACGGCAUGCGCGCUACAGUUGCUGGGAUGGGCUUGUGCGCGUGGACGGAAGCGCGCACACUGUAGCCCCUCAAGUGCCUUUGCAGUCCCUUCAAGUGCCUUCUGCGUCGAUCUAUCUGCCUCUCAGCGCGCAUACAUGUGACGUGCCUCCUCGUUGCUCACCUGGUGCCUCCCCGGUGCCGUCGUACGUGUUGACGAUUCAAUGACGCAGUACUCGCUCGUACGCUCGUUCAUGCCUUCACAUGCAGGUCAAUGAGUACAUGGACCACCUGGGAGUGAGGUACGCUAUUGUCAGCUGCCACUACGCCAUGUGGGCGGUGCGCCGCACGUGCUCGCCACCGCCGCCGCAGGUCCUGCUGGAGAACCAGCCCGAACCCCAACCCCGGCAGCAGCAGCAGCAGCAGCAGGCGCCAUCGGUGGGUCCUGCAGCCGCCGCAGUAGUCCGUGCCCGCAGUACUGGCGUGACAACCCGAAGUGCAUCCGCCGCUGCUGCACGUGCGCUGGCUGCUGGCGCAGGCGGCGGUGGCUGUAGCGGCAGCGGUCCUGAUGGCAUGGGUGGUGUCGGCGGCGGUGGCAGCGUGGCAGGUACCGGCAGCAGCAGCCGCAAGCGCGGCCGCGCGCGCGACGGGCUGCUGCACCUGGCAGGGCCCUUUCUGGCGCCAACGGAGCACACGGACCAACAGCCGGCAGUCACAGCCGCCGCCGCCACCCUGUACACCAUGCUGCUCAGCCUGCCGGAGGUGCCCGACCCACCUGCAGCAGGGCUUGCGCGGCGGCGGUCGCGGUCAGCGCCGCCCGGGCAGCCGGACGCAGGGCCCAGCCGCAGCAGUGGUGGCGGUGACGGCGGUGGUGCAGUUGGUCGCGGCGGGCAGCCCGGGGGCGCUGCUGCCGGUCACUGGCGGCGGCGCGCAUGUUGCCUCCGCCAGCCGCCGCCGCUGCCGCCGCUCCUCAUUGAGGCCGACCCCGAGGUCCUGCACGUGGGCUACGCGGGCCUUGCCUGCACCGGCCGCGUCAACGGCGAGGAGGCGGUGCUUAAGAUCCUGGACUCGGACGAGCACGGCGUCGCGGCCUUCGAGGCGGAGUGCAGUGCCUACCGGGCGCUGGCCGCGCUGCAGGGUGACGUGCUGCCGCGGCUGCUGGCCGCUGGCCGCCUGGGUGACCUGGCGCCGCCGCCACCGCCGUCUGGGGAGGAGGAGGAGGAGGAGGAGGAGGAGUGGGAGCCGCCGCCGGACGGCGACGUGCGCUUCAUCGCCACCAGCCGGGUGCGGGGCUUGACGCUGCGUCAGGCGGCGGAGCAGUGGGGCUACAUCCAGCCGACGGCGGCGGCAGCGGCGGUGCACGCGCUUAAGGUACUGCACGCGGCGGACAUUCGCGCUGGUGGCGGCGGCAGUGGCGGGCGCUUCCUGCACGGCGACAUCCGGCUCAGCAACUUCAUGCUCCUGCUCCCGGCUGCGGAGGCGGCGGUGGGGCCGCGCGGCGUGAUCAUUGACUUGGGGCUGUCGCGCCUGGACGGGACGGAGGCGGAGCAGCAGGCGGAGGUGCGGCAGCUGGAGCAGCGACUCCAGUGCGGCAGUGGCUGAGGAAGAGCGAGGGAUAAGUGAUGAGUGCGAGGAGGUGAGGGUGGCUGGCUUCAGCCGUGGCCGAGGGAGCAGGCGGGAGGAACGGCAGGGUGGUGGGCCUGCUGGGCGGGUUCUGGGCAGGACGUGCAGUUCGGAGGUUACGAAUGGGAUGCGCGCUGGGCCACGGUUGCGACUGGCGUGGACAUGCGGCCGCACUAUUGUGCGGUGCGGUAAGAAAAUGAAUGACUGAUUGCGGGCCUGGAUGUGCCAAGGCAAGGGGCAUCAUGUAGCGCAGCAACAUGUGGCUAACGAUAAGGGAAACGCUUGAGAUAAGGGAAACGCUUGAGAUUCUUGCAUGGACCGUGUGCUCAGAAUAAUGCAUGUGUACGAACCGGCGGUGCCUCUGUAUGUCCUGAUACAUUCAUGUUAGGGGCUACCCUGCUUACUAGAAUGGAUGCAAGCUAAAGGCUUGAAUGACUGUCACACGUAACGGGUCCUCUGACAAUGACGGGCUCGGCAUUUGGCAGAGCCCGCUCCUACCUACAUGCGCUGAAUAAGAAGGGUUCAGGUGCGCUCGAAGCAACUGUGCAGGAUGAGCGCUCACUGCCAUUCUAGUGUAGAUGAGGGUUACCGAUGACGGGCAUUCCGUGGAUGGUAUGGAGGCAAGUGUCAACAUCAUCGAGGGCGCAAGACCGAGAACCCUAACUAGCGUACGGAGGGCGGGGAGCUAGUGGCGUAUGUGCUGCGGAUGGGCGCCUGUUGGCGACGAUGUUGGAGGAUGGCACCAAAGGAAACGCAUAACAACCACCAAGGUAGCUUGUGGCGUGGCUGUGCCUUGCCGUGGACCGUCUGACUGCUGAUCCGCAGCAGCAGAGCUCCAUGACUUCAUGGCUGUAUGCUUUGUCACAACUGGUCGGUGCUAAGCAACCUGAUGUCCUGCUGUGCAUGCCUGUGAUUGGCUGGCUGCCGGGGUAAGCCGCAGCAGGGCAAACUAUCACGGCAAGCUCGCGAAAGGAUCUGUGCCGUGGGUGUACCAUAUGCCCCUGCGGGGUAAGCCGGCGCAGCGCAGUGGAGCCCUGUCAUUUGCUAUGGCGUCAGGUACCCGUGUAUAUGACGAGUGCGAGAAACGUUACUUGGUCGAUGUCUGGCGCAAGGUGCUUGGGUCAGGCCCCAGACGGCAUCUGCCCGUUCCGCUUAUACGGCCGCCGUCAGCCCGCGCUGCUGCGCAGCGGAUUGCCGCGGCCAUGGUGCUCCUGCCGGAGGACUGGGCGGCGGCGGCGCGGGAGGUGCAAGCGCCGCGCCGUGACGCGGUCUGCGGCGCCGGCCUAUGUUGAAGCCGUGCGUGUGGUGGCCCGGGGUUGGUUGCCUGCUAUUCGUUUUUUAAGCUCCCCAGGAAGCGUCCCGGAGGGGGGGCGAAGCCCCCCAGGAUCACCCCUGUCCGUGCGUGCGUGCGUGCAUGCGUUCGCAAAAAGUAUCAUACUGGGUUAGCACGGACUGUGCACCCAACCCAACCGGCCAAGUCCGAGCAUUGCGGGGAUGCCAAAGGCCCCCAACAUAGAUGCGUGUGCUUAGUAGGCGCCGCGUCAGGCGUCUGGUGCCCACAGCCUGGUGCUGUGGGCCCCAGGAGGGGAGGGCUCAGCCCUUUUCCUGCCCUAAAAGGCAGACACCUUGUUUAAGCUCUUAAUAGGUAAGUGUUCCCCUGCCACGAGAAAAGGGGCUCAGCCCCUCCACUCUCUGAGGCCGAACGUCCUCAUCACCCGGACAUAGCCAAACCAGGUGCUCAGCAGCCACACCGCCACUGCAGAGCCAGCCAGGACACCACACAGUUGACAACAGCCUGCUUGUCAUGCUGCUGCUGCCCCCUGCCAAGCAUACCCUGCCCACCCCAUUGUGGCCUGCUACCUAGCUAGACACCGGCGGCCAGCCCCUCAGCCUGCGCGCUUGCGCCACGUUUUGGGCGACGCUGCGCUCUCCUCCUCCACGUGGCCGUUCCCGUCCCCUCCGCUACGUACCAACAUGCGCACACGCGCCGCUGUCGCUGUGUGCUGCUGGGCCGCUGCUGGGCCGCCGCCGCCGCCGCCGCCACCGCCGCCAGGCUGUAGUGAUGCGGGCCGCACGUUUCCUAGCAGCAUCUCCACCAGCGCGUGCCGGAUGUUGGUUGCAGAGUUGACGUCCCGCCCCUGCAUUGAAGCGUGAGCGAGGGCAGAGUUGAUUACUACACGCCGGCCCAUCCCGACCCGGUGUCAUGUCUUUUGCCUCCUAUGCCCCUGAGGAGCCUAGUUAUAUAUAGAUACGCAACCAGCCUGUAUAUGCUUGAGUGUCGAGCCUGCUUCAUGACACCGGUGGGCAGUGCUGCAGCUACCUUGCCCAUCUUCCGAUAGUGGUCUCACCGAGAUGCUAGAAUUUGCGGAUCCUGACCCGAUUGACCGUCAGACUUACCCGCACUUCUUGACGCGCGCCGCGCGCGCCGGAAGCAGGGCACCGCCGAGCAGUAGAGUCUCCGGUCGGGCCCGAACUUACUCUCAGUGAGAAACUAGAUGUUGUUAAUUAUUUCAGCGGUCGAUUGAUUGAUGGUAUCGCUCAUAUUCAUGUCACAAUGAACUACUGUAGUUUCUGUCGAGUUUCUGUCGAGUUCCAUUCGAGUUUUGGCGGAAUUUCCCUCGAAUUUCCGCCGAGUUUCCCCCGCCCCGCCCGCGCGUGCACAUCAGCGACUCUCAUGCACUCCAGCGAGUCCCACCCUGCUGGUGGUGCCCAACCGUCAACCGUUUGAAACCGUGUGGCCCCAGAGGCAGCUCAUGGAAACCUGGUCAGCCCCAUUAUUCGUCUCUCUGAGUUUACACGCAGCUCACACACAUGGCUUCCCCAACGGCCUCUCGCACGACUAUGCACUCCCACUCGCGCAACGCGCCAACCGCCAGCCUCCGCCGUCCUCCACCGUGCUCAGACGCAGCUUCCCACACGCAUGCGCGCUCAACUGCCAGCUCCCACUUGCGCGCCUGCCGACUAGCGCCAACGACCCGUGUGCAUCACCCCGACCAGGCAGCUUCCGAGCCGGGCCGCCGUACAACUGCCUGCUCACACUCGCGCAGCUGCCGACUGCCACGCUACCUCCUGUACGGCUGAGGGGGGUUGGGGUGCCGUACACGAGUUCGUUGGGGGUUAGUCGGAGCUGUCCCAGGGUGAAGGUUUAUCUAUUUUUUGGGCUGAGCCCCCCCAACCUCCCGACUGUCCUUCGCCCCCACGCUUCUCAAAACAAGGGGGGGGCGAAGCCCCCCAGGAACACCCCUGUCCGUGGCUGGUGGCUGCGUGCAUCGGCAAAACAUAGCAUACUGGCGCAAACCGGCGCCUUUACUAAAGUUUUUCUCCUUUCCCACGUUCCAUGUCCCGCAGCUCCGUACUCCAGCCACGGAAAAGCUGGACAAGCUGGCAUGGAGCAUGGCGCAUGCCGUGCUCUACGACGGCGAGUUAGAGCAGCCGCGCUGGUGGGUGGGUUGGGCCCAGGGCGCCGCCGCGCAAGCCGCGGGCGCGGCGGCUGCGGCGGCGGCACAGGGCGCCGGCCCUGCGGGCGGGGCCGCCGCCGCGCAAGCCGCGGGCGCGGCGGCUGCGGCGGCGGCACAGGGCGCCGGCCCUGCGGGCGGGGCCGCCGCCGCGCAAGCCGCGGGCGCGGCGGCUGCGGCGGCGGCACAGGGCGCCGGCCCUGCGGGCGGGGCCGCCGCCGCGCAAGCCUGGACCGCCCUCGUUGACUACGUCAACACCCAGCGUGCGUCGAAAAGGGCCGCAGAGCUGUUGCUGCGGGAGGUCAAGGGGGCGCAGGCCACGUACAAGAAGGCCAGCACGCGGCACAUGGAAUGGGCCGCGGAGAUUCUCGCAGGCCUUGAGGCACGCCGCGAUCAGCUGGGGGCGCAGGUGCAGCAACUGACGCAGGCGCAGCCGUUGACGCGAGAGGACACGCAGCGGCUUGCGUCCUUGCGCCGGGAACUGCAUCGCGCUCGUCCGUUCACGCUGACCCCCAGCCCCUCCUUCGCGCCGAUCUAUGUGCCCCUUGACAACACGUCCAUGGCCCGCCUUCCUGGGCUGCUGCCCACCCUGGCAAGGCGCCAUGGCGAGGUCUUCGCCGGUGCAGGCGCGGGCGCCGUGGCACCCUCCUCGUUUGUCCAGGCCGCGUUUGGCGGUGGGGGCAUGCAGUCGUCUGCCACGCUGAACGCCGUCGGCUGGGGCCUGUUCCAGCUCGGGGGUGUGACCUCCCGCAACGCCCCCUUCGCCAACUACAUCACCACGGACGGGGUGGCCUGCAGCGUGGCGCGAGAAGCGCACAACAAGCCGCUGGCCAACUUGAAGCCGGCGACCGCGCCCGCCGAUGCGGAGGAGCUGUGCACCCUGGAGGAGAUGAAGGCCACGCAGAUCAUCGGUGUGGACCCGUGCGGGGGAGGGAAUUGGUUCAUGGCAGCACGGUCUCCGCUGUACCAGCCAGGGCCCUGGGCUUGGGAGGGUGUCAGCCCUGCCCAGCGCUCCCUGAUCGAGCUGCACGACAAGCAGCUGGAUGAGGAGUUGUUCCCUGGGCAGCUGCCGCCGGAGCCGCGUCGCAGGCGCAAGGGUGGCGGGCGUAAGGGGGGCCACCGCCGGAAGCAAUCAAAGCACUGGCAGCCGCGAGCCAGGACAGCGCGGCGGCGGCGCCAGAAGCGGGGCCGAUUCCAUAUGAGCAUGGGCCACUGGCGGCACAUGUCAGGCCUGGAACGACUCCAGCCAAACCGCCCACAGCUUGCGCCAGCCCUGCAGGCGUACGUCGGCGGCAUCCCCACGGCGGCGACCGCGUCGGCGGCCCGGUUUGAAGAGCGCCUGCGCUACCUCUUCGUCAGUGGGGCGGCAGGGCAGGCGGCGGGGCAGGAGGCGGGGCAGGCGGCGGGGCAGGAGGCGGGGCAGGAGGCGGGGCAGGCGAAGGCGGCGGGGCCGGCAGAGGCGGGGUCCCGGGGCGCGGUGCACGUGCUGUGGCACUACCACUUCUCCGCCUUCCGCCGAAAGCGCUGGGCUGCGUUCAUCCAGCGCGACCGCGCGCUCCACCGCGUCGCCAAGCAGCUCACGGGCGGCAGGCCCAAGGAGGAGGUGGUGGUGGGGUGGGGUUCGUGGGCCUUCCAGGGAGGGAAGGGCGGCUCCCCCAUCUCCGUCAGGGGCGGGCGCGCGCCGACGGGGCGGCUCAUCAAGCUGCUCCGUGAGCGCUACGCCAAGCAUGUGUUCAUCAUCAAUGAAUACAAGACCUCCAAGGUGGGUGGGUUGAGUGGGAUUGCAAUUGCCGGUGGGUGGGUGGGCCGCUGGGUUUAUGCCUGGCUUUAGCGGAACCAUGCAGACCUGCUACAACUGUGGCCCCCCUCCCUCCCACCCUCCCGACCAUGCAGACCUGCUACAACUGCGGGUGUCAGGAGAUGGCCAUCAAGCGGCUUGGGGGGCUGAAGGAGGGGCAGCGGCCCUGGUCGGUCAAAGUCUGCAACGACUGCUUGACGACCUGGGUGAGGACCGUGCAUGUGCGGGGACGGCUGGGCACUGGGGACGGAUUGAUUGACAGGUUGACGGUUGGGACAGCUCAUGUGCGCUCUCCUCUUCCUCCCCGUUCCCCAUCCCCAGAACCGCGACGUCUCCGCCGCCAACGUGAUCCGUGUGCUCCUCCUGCUGAAGCUGAUGGGCUUCGAGCGGCCGACCAAGCUGCAGCGGCCGCCAUGGCCGCCGCCGGCGGCGGGGCCGGGCUGAGAGCCUGAACGGCGCUAGCAGGGCGUGGGGCUGAGGGUGCACGUGUUGAUUGGCGGCGAGUGACGUGACUAGUUUGUUAGCUGCGGGUUAGCACGGACUGUGCACCCCACCCAACCGGCCAUGUCCGGAUUUGCGGGGAUGCCAAAGGCCCCCAACAUAGAGGCGUGUGCUUAGUAUGUAGGCGCCCGCGUCAAGGUGAAAAAAUAGGUAAACCUUCAUCCUGGGACAGCUCCAACUAACGCCCAACUAACGCCGAACGAACUCGUGUACGGCACCCCCACCCCCCUCAGCCGUACAGGAGCUGCGGUUGGGUGUCGGUAGCUGCCGCGGCUGGGAGCUGGUAGUUGUACGGUGGGCCGGCUGGGACUGGCUGGGAAGCUGCCGAGCUUGGGGGCACGCACACGGAUCGUUGGUAUGAGUCGGGUAGCUGUACGGCUGGAAGCUGGAAGUUGCGCGGGAGACCGGCUGCGAAGCGACAUGAGUGCAUAGGUGUACGGCGGAGGUCAGGGGGUGGUGGCUGGCGGUUGGCGUGGCGCACGAGUGGGAGCUGGCAGUUGCGUGUGGUGCCGGCUGGGAAGCUGCGUGUGAGCUGCGUGUAAACUCAGAUGGGAUGCAUGGGGCUGCGCCUUUCCAUGAGCUGCAUCUGGGCUGCACACGGGAUUCACACGGACUGCACUGUAACUGGCGCGGCGGGUCCCCGCCGCGCUGGGAAGUGGCGUGUGGCAUGUAAUGGGAUGUGAUCCAGCCAGGUGAGGACAUGGCCGCGUGCAGUGCACUGCGUGCACCGGUGCGGCGCGUCGGUCGUCCUACCUACCUCCUCACACGCGGCUGCGGCUGACCGGCGUGGCGGGGGGCGGCUGGCGCCGCCCCCCGCCGUGCAAGGGGGCUGCACUGAAACUGGCGCAGCGGGGGCGGCGCCGCGCUGUGGGGCGAAAGGAGCGAGGCACAGAAACUCAAGGGAAACUCAGUCAAAACUCGAAGGAAACUCGGAGGAAACUCGGAGGAAACUCGGAGGAAACUCCGAAGUCGAACAAUUGAGGCUGUUCUUAGUCUUUUUGCUCUUGUGAGUACUUCGCGACUAGUGUCAGUUCUUCAUCGCCUUGCGAAGCGCGCGGUAAGCGUCGGAGCUCAGGUCCUCUUGCAGCUGAGCCGCGGGCAGCCAUUCAGCCUUGGGAAAUCCUUUAAAUCUCACCAAAAAUUACAAAUUUGCUGUCCUCGAGGCCACGCACCUGCUCGCGCUUGCCAUUCCUGCUGCCACGCUUGCCCGCAGGCUUGUUUGCAGGCGCAGCUGGUGGUGCCUCUUGAGCUUCAAUAGCGCGUGUAGCCUGCUGCUGAGUUGUGGCAAGAGCACGCGCAACACGCCGCACCUGGCGCUGCUCCUGUGCUGCCUCUGCCUGGCGCUUCACCCCGCCUGCUACCCUGUAGUCACUUCACGAACCAACAGCAUUUCUGACGGGCUAUGCAGGCGUCGCUUGCCCUCCACGGCGAAUCUAUAGCCCUUCUGCCGAGUCACGGUGUACAAAUGUCCUGUGCAUGGGUGGCCAUCUCCUUGUCGAACAGCCCCGUGCCCUCCAACAAUCGUACGCGGUCACCAGGCUUGAAGUCCCUUGUGCAGCGACAGCAUGAAGUCCACACCUGCGAAUGCCUCAUCAGAGGGCGGAGCUCCCCCACCACGCUAAAAAAGUAGCAUUGUUUUGCCCUGGGUACCGUGGGUGAGAGUGUGGCAAAGCUCGCCAGCGGCGGUGGCCCAGGUGGCCUUACCCAGAAGAUGCAAGCUCCUUGGUCUGCUUAGUGCUGCGUGCUGUUGUACAGGUCAGACACCUUGGGCAGGAGAUGCGAUAUCCCGCAUGCUACUUUCUGGGUGCUACUUUCUGGGUGGUCUGGUAUUCCUGACACGGGCUGUUUCAGAGCCGCUCAGUCUCUGGAGGGAUUUGCACAGGCCUCUGGAGGGCUCUGGAGGGCUCUGGACGGCUCUGAAGGGCUCUGGAGGGAUCUAAAGCCCUCUGAAGGGCUCUGAAGCGCUCUGCAAGGCUCUGCAGGGCUCUGCAGGGCUCUGCAGGGCUCUGCAGGGCUCUGGAGGCUGGUAACCGAGAAGGCCCCGAUGCGAUCCGCCCGAAGGGGCAAGGGGCAAGCACCACCUGUGCGCCCGGCCGCCCUGCAUGCUUGGCGGGUCAAUACCCUGUUGGCCCACUAUCCAGUUGCAAAGGCCGCGGCAACCCACAAGAUGCCGAAAGCCAGUUGAGGAGUUGAAAAACUCCGAAUGUUUGGCAGGUCGGCGGCACGCCGCACAGCGCACACCUACCAUGGGGCACAAACCCAGCCCAAGCCUAGCCGUCCACCGACCGCAAGCACUUACUGGCAUUCCACCACCAGCCCAUGUACCCCGCACCACUUCAACAACUCCAAGAGCCGCGAGGGGAAGGCACGGAUGCCAGUGCCUGGGGCACGCUGGGCCAGCGAAGUGCCGCCAUCCGUCCUAGUUGCUCAUCAAUGUACCCGUCCCCGUCACCGACCGCGACACGCAACAUGUCGGAUAAGAUGGCUGAGCGCGGCUCAGUAUGAGUCUGGCGCGCAUGCGGUCUGCGCGUCGAAGAGGACAUCCGGCACACAACUUGUGUGACACAAGCGAGCACCGGCAAGCAAAGCCAAGUUUGGUACAAAGCAAGUUUAAGCAGUACAUUUGCCCAAGGCGUGCACUGCACUAUGCAUAUUAUCUUUAGUACAUGGUCGAUGUUUAGCCUCCGCAGUGGGACGGUGUACCGCGAUACUAUGAACUGUCAAAGAACAAAGGAAUAUCAGAGGGUACAUAGCACGCGUGUGCGAGGAGAACUAGGAAAAGGCUCUCGCCCACAUCCGCGGCGCCCAUGCCAAUCCCAGUAAAACCCCCAAGUUGCGCAGAGUUGGGGAGGUGAAGAUUGUUAUCAUCGCUGACACAGUCCUUGUUUUUUGCGCCGAAACCGGAUUACAUAGGACUCAGAAGACUAUAGACAGUUUGGUGGCUCCAAAUUCUCAUACAUCCCAGACUUUACUAGCCCAGCCAGUCUCAUCGCUCAUCAGUCGAAUCGAAGUCGUGCUUAAUGUCGGACGACCGCUGCGCCUACCAGCGUCCAGAACAACAUGGGCGUGGACCCAGCGCAGCGGGAGCAGCUGCGCACGGUCCUUGGAGACUUUGGGGCUGACCCGAAGUUCUUUGAGGACACCGAUGUGGACGCGAUGUGGAAGGCUCGCUACACCACUAGGCUCAGCCUGCAGAUUGCCACACGCGCCGGCCUCAAAAACGCUGGGCUGCCGCCUGCCAUCGUAGACUACGUACUAUCGCUCCAAGGUGCGGGAUGUUCGUUUGUGUUGGCCCAGGUGGCCCAUCGGGGUGCAGUCGCUGGGUGAUGGGGAGAGCUCGCGCGCCUGGAAAGUGCCAUGGCAUGCAGUUCCUAAUCUGUGCCCCCGGCCCCCCGCAGGUCGUGCAGCUUCGGCGGCUGGCGUGGGCGCGACAGGUGAGUUUCGUGUGGAUGGCCCAGGUAUCGGCUCACCGGCGACUUGAUUGGCAGUGUUGGCUGGAAACUGCGGGGAUCUAUAUCUGCCGCUGUGGGCACAGCUGAUGCGUGUCCCUGUGGCGACCAAAAGGAAGCGAUUAUUGUGGGGCGUAAGCCCCGGUCCAUAGCACGUGAAGCUUUUAGCAAGGCCACACGUUAAAGAGCGGAAAGCGUUACGGGAGCGGAUUAGCGGGCUUGGAGAUCGUGACAGGAUCCGCUUGCGAGGCCCCGAACGCGGAGCGGUAUCGGAGAGUGGUGCGGGAUGAGCUUCAACGAUGGUUUGGGUCGGGUUUGGUCGAAGGAAGGUGUUGAGGUUGCAUCCGCCCAAGCCUCGCGGCCUUCGGGCUCUGGCCCUUGUUGGCGGGGCGUGAUUCUUUCCGGCGUGGCCAUGCUGACUACCUGCAUUGCCUUUUGAUUGCUCUCGCGUUGUGCAGGCGCGGCGGCUGGCGUGGGCACAACAAGAGCUGGUGAGUGGGGCGACGCGCAAAGAGUAGCGGCUGGUCACGACACGCCGCAGCUCAGAGGGUGGCCGCUGGACAGCGGGGGUGCACAAGGAGGUUGGGUGCAGACACCCGAUUUGUUUGGCGGUUGAGAUGCUGCACGCUGUCCCUCCCCGUUCACCAGACCGCAUCGGGCACGUGCAGCGCCGUUCCAACCUGCGCAUGCCUUUCGUUCAUGUCUUCACUUCGUUUGCAUCUGUGUUUCGGUCGCUUUCACCUGGUGAUGCAGGCGCGGCGGCUGGCCUUGGCGUGGGGAGUGCGGCAGGGGCCGGUGAGUUAGUGUGUUGCGCGGGCCCAGGGAAUUCUCACUAGCGGCUUUUGCACAUCAGCGGCUUGGGGGGCUCAGCCCAAAAACGUUUGCCGAUGCAAUCAGCAGUGCAAUCGACCCAACAAAGACAGGUAUGAUGUGGGCGCGAUUUGGAAUGAACCAACGCGCUUUGAUGCCUGCGCAAGAGCAAAGGAC
rnacentral:lncRNA from 1 species